ensembl:lncRNA
UCAGGCUCCUCCCUCACUGAGGUGGAAUCACUAACAGACACUGUGUACUCAGGCUCCUCCCUCACUGAGGUGGAAUCACUAACAGACACUGUGUACUCAGGCUCCUCCCUCACCGAGGUGGAAUCACUAACAGACACUGUGUACUCAGGCUCCUCCCUCACCGAGGUGGAAUCACUAACAGUCACUGUGUACUCAGGCUCCUCCCUCACCGAGGUGGAAUCACUAACAGACACUGUGUACUCAGGCUCCUCCAUCACUGAGGUGGAAUCACUAACAGACACUGUGUACUCAGGCUCCUCCCUCACUGAGGUGGAAUCACUAACAGACACUGUGUACUCAGGCUCCUCCAUCACUGAGCAGGUAGGCGUGAGGAUCUCGUGUGUAUUGUGAUGGGAUUUUAUAUUGUGAUAAGAUGUUUUCUGGGUGUUUUUCUGGUUGUAUAGAGCUCCCCUCUAUUGGGUCACUGUCAGGGGAAACGUACAGUAUUUCGGUUGGCAAAAUGUUCCUUUUCUCCUUUCUUCUUCGCUGGCAAAACCAAAUAAAAGGGGACGCAGUGUUAUUGAGGCCCUGUUUUUUUUCUAUAAUCUACUAUAGGCCUAUAAAUUAAAACGAUAGAGAGCAAUAUUAAUGGCGUCUUUUUGAGGGCGCUAAAGGAGGCUAACUCCACCUUGUUUGACAAAUUAAUGUUUUUUUUUGUUGUUGUUGGUUGUUUGUUGGUUUGGGAUAUUAAAUGGUCAAAAUAAGGCAUGUGGUAAACACAGACUUAGGCGAUUUUAUACAUUUAGUUCUAUGAGAUCAUCUUCGUCAGCUAACAUCACUUUUUUUGUGAAUUUUGAAGCAUUUAUGUACUCAAAACAAGUGAAAAGCUACCGAUGUGCUAACAUGUAAAAAAUAAAUAAAUGAAACUACACGUCAGGUUGCCUUUGACGUCUCCAACGAAGCUCGAGAACUCCUAACACUUGGCUGUUGUAGUUCCAUUUCUGACAGCUAGCGAC